GUGGGGAAUAUUGGACAAUGGGCGAAAGCCUGAUCCAGCCAUGCCGCGUGUGUGAAGAAGGCCUUCGGGUUGUAAAGCACUUUAAGCAAGGAGGAAAGGUUGACGGUUAAUACCCUUUAGCUGUGACGUUACUCGCAGAAUAAGCACCGGCAAACUUCGUGCCAGCAGCCGCGGUAAUACGACGGGUGCAAGCGUUAAUCGGAAUUACUGGGCUUAAAGCGCGCGUAGGUGGUUAAGUAAGCGAUCUGUGAAAGCCCCGGGCUCAACCUGGGAAUUGCAGGUCGAACUGCUUGGCUAGAGGAUGGUAGAGGGGUGUGGAAUUCCAGAUGUAGCGGUGAAAUGCGUAGAUAUCUGGAGGAACAUCAGUGGCGAAGGCGACACCCUGGACCGAUACUGACACUGAGGUGCGAAAGCGUGGGUAGCGAACAGGAUUAGAAACCCGGGUAGUCC
rnacentral:rRNA from 1 species